CACGUAGGCGGAUAUUUAAGUCAGGGGUGAAAUCCCAGAGCUCAACUCUGGAACUGCCUUUGAUACUGGGUAUCUUGAGUAUGGAAGAGGUAAGUGGAAUUCCGAGUGUAGAGGUGAAAUUCGUAGAUAUUCGGAGGAACACCAGUGGCGAAGGCGGCUUACUGGUCCAUUACUGACGCUGAGGUGCGAAAGCGGGGGGAGCAAACA
rnacentral:rRNA from 1 species